CUUAAUAAAAGCAUUAACAAACUUCUCAAAGAACAAACCCUGAUUAACAGCGAAAUCAUUAACCAAACCCUUCGUCCUCGAAUCAAUGUUCAAAUCUUGGUCGGAAGUGAACAAACCUUGUUUGUUCAUCAAAUCAAGGUAGUAUUUGUUGUCGAAUGUUGCCGGGGUCCUUAUGUCUAGGUUUGCAGUGUUACCUGAAUUUGCAUUAGGGCAAGUGUUUUUAAGGUUUUGAGCUAGGGU
rnacentral:lncRNA from 1 species